rnacentral:misc_RNA from 1 species
GUAAGGCACGGUUACAAAAAUUGCAUUCUGGAUUGUACAGUCUUGAAGUUUUCUGGUUGAGGUUCUUCUCCCUUGAUUCUCUGCUAGAGGGCCUGGAGCAAAUGGGUGUUUCAAAUAUUGCAUUACAAGAAAUUACAAUCUCCAGCUGUGAUUCACUCACGUGCUUGCCGCUAGAAUUGUUCCCUAUGUUAAAGCUUCUUCGCAUCCGUGAUUGUCCGAAAUUGGAAAGGCUAUAUGCAUUUCAAGGAGAUUUCGCAUCUCCUGCCCUGCAGUUGGAAACAUUUUCUUUCAUCUCCCAACUAGAAUUGCUUGACCUUGAUUGUUCCAACAAAAUCUGUUACUGUCACUUGAAAUGGAUUUUGCAAAGGCUUCCCUCUCUUAAACACCUCUCUAUUCAUUCUGACCACAAUUUGGAAUCCUUUCCUAAGAAGACACUGUUGCCCUCCUCUCUUGCCUCUCUUGAAAUCUGGGAUUUUCAGAAUCUGAAAUCUCUUGACAGUGAGGGUCUUCAAGACCUCAAGUCUCUUAAAAAACUGAUUAUCAUAUCCUACCCUAAGCUCUCUUCGAUGCCAGAAGAGGGGCUGCCUUCUUCCGUUUCUUUUCUGAGUAUCUGGAAAUGUCCUUUGCUGGAAGAUAGGUGUCAACAGGGGACAGGUGAAGACUGGCGCAAGAUUUCUCACAUCCUCAAGAUUGAAAUUAAUGGGGAAUGCAUCAAUUGAUCCAAAGGCCUAGAAGAGUACUCCUGUCACCCAUUCGUCCAAUAUGCCAGCUUCAGAGUUUUCAUUCAACAACUAUGAGAACUUGAAAAACGCGUAAUACUCGUGGAUCCGGUGAUGCUGAAACCGAACCUGCAGCAACAAUUGAAAGAUUGACAAUGCAGCCUCCAUCCAGAGUGUAUCAACCUUUUGCUUCAGAUCCCUCAACAGGUAUAUGAAAAUCUGUGACCAUAUCCGAUUCAGUGAGCUAGACAUUCAAGAAAGACUUUACUUCAUAUUUGCAGACCAUGAUUUUAGGUAGGAUCUACCAUGCUUUAGAGUAGCAUCAUCCACAAUGAUUUUAAAUAAUGUGUUGAUUGUUGAUUGGAUACAUGUAUACACCAUGUAUAGGUAAGAUAAGAACAACUCAUCCGCAGCAUUUUUUUUCGCCCUUCAAAUGUUAUUUGAUCUGAAAAUCUGCUCUGUUAAAUUGAUUUUCUAUUGGAGCGAAAUCAUGGGGAUUUGUCAAAUAAUCACAAACUAUGUAAUAAGAGAGAUUAAUGG